rnacentral:lncRNA from 1 species
CAGGAGACAGUCUUUCUUGGAGAGGUGAACAGGACAGUGGAGAUGUACAGGAUGGCAAUGAACAGAUAUAAUAGUAAAAUAUCAAUAAUAGUAAUAACUCAUUAUUAUACAGAUUAAGAAAAAAGGAAAGACCAAAAAAACCCAAACAGUAAUCAAACCCCAUCAUCAUGAGCUAUGGUGUAUCAAUUAAAAUGGAAGUGAAUUACAUGCAAAUGCUUCAAACAGAAAAUGCCGAAUACCUUUCCACUGAUGAUUUUUAGUUGUCAGGACAAGUGAGACCCAAACAGCAGACAGAAUGGUCCCAGCAUGCUUGUUGCCUUUUUUUUGUUUGCACAGUAGCUGUCAAUUUCAGCCUUGCAGGUAGGGGAACCCAGCGGGAGGCAGGGGCGGGACCCAACCACGCAGGCUGAACUGAGAGCAAAUUUAAAUUACUGAGCCUUUUUUUUCCUUUUUUAUUUUUCUACUCUGCGACAAACUGAAAAGAUUCCAGCACGCUAAUUUAACCACCCUGCUUCUUCUUUGCCUUUUUUUUUUUUUUUUUUUUUGUCUCCCUGCUUCCAGGAUAAUUAAAAGAGAAACCUGUAAAGGCAACAUUCCUGUGACCGAGUUGGUGCUGCUACGUGCUGGUCAGAGACUCCAAGAGCUGGUAGUGGAGAAUUGAAGGUCCUACUCCUUUUGUGGCGAAGUCUGGACUGAACCAGCAACAAGAAAAACAAUGAACAGUAAUUAUGAUCACAGAAGAAAAGAACCCAGAUCUUGUCAUUUUUCCACUGAUUAAUUAAACACACAGACGCACAUAAACACAGACAUACAUAUUCAGAAAAGCUUAGUACUGGCCUCUAUUGUGAUCUUUUAGUACCAUAGUUUAGUUACUUGCGAUUUACAGGCCACGACUGCUAAACAUCAGAACUCAUGCG